AGGAGGAGAGAAAGAGGGCGCUCCAGAAGGAGUCCUUCGCGUGCGGACGGCAGGAGGAUUAAAAGGAGGGACGAGGGAGAACCGGAGAGGAAAGGAGAGGGCAGACCUGGGAAGGCAGGUCCCGCUGCGACCAGUCACAUGGAAAACUUCUUUGUUGAACACCAUGUACCAAAGUACAGAGUGAGCUUUGGCUUGUCYUUUGGGGUGUCAUUCCAGGCAAGUUUCAUCACCACCCUCUCCAAGAGAGUCUGGAACUCUGGUCCUCUCUCUUCCCCUUUGCAGACGUCAAGCAUGACAAGCCCUGGAAAGUCUAUCCAGACCCUGAAUGGAGCACUUUAAGACUUGCAUCAUUUAAGCCUCACAGAGGCCUUGUGAGCCUUUUGCAGGUACCUAAUGUAAUUAUGGCCCUGAUAAAAGCUGCCAAGUGCUCCUGAGUGCAAAGGASAGAAGAUAUUUUAACGAAGUUACUAGACUCAUUUGGCUUCUCAUCCUGGAAAAUCUACUGCUCUGGGGGACCAUCAUUUCUGCUGAGCUGGCAUUGCU